rnacentral:lncRNA from 1 species
CCUCCAGGCCGCCUGCGGGACUCCAUGGCAACUCCGGACCCAGGGAGGUGCUUGCCCCGGAGGCUGAGUCGCGCCUUCCAUAUAUGGGAUCCAGCUGGGCCCUCCUUAGAAGUCUGAGAAUAACGAUAUUAAUAAUGCAAGGCUUCAGUUGUGAAUGAUUCAUACUCCCUGUCCCCAGCUCCUCCACACACACGCGCCGCUGGCACCUGUUUGGGCCUGGCCAGGCACCCCCUGGGUCCGCG